GUGGGGAAUAUUGGACAAUGGGCGCAAGCCUGAUCCAGCCAUGCCGCGUGAGUGAUGAAGGCCCUAGGGUUGUAAAGCUCUUUCACCGAUGAAGAUAAUGACGGUAGUCGGAGAAGAAGCCCCGGCUAACUUCGUGCCAGCAGCCGCGGUAAUACGAAGGGGGCUAGCGUUGUUCGGAAUUACUGGGCGUAAAGCGCACGUAGGCGGAUAUUUAAGUCAGGGGUGAAAUCCCAGAGCUCAACUCUGGAACUGCCUUUGAUACUGGGUAUCUCGAGUAUGGAAGAGGUGAGUGGAAUUCCGAGUGUAGAGGUGAAAUUCGUAGAUAUUCGGAGGAACACCAGUGGCAAAGGCGGCUCACUGGUCCAUUACUGACGCUGAGGUGCGAAAGCGUGGGGAGCAAACAGGAUUAGAUACCCGUGUAGUCC
rnacentral:rRNA from 1 species